GAUGAACGCUGGCGGCGUGCCUAAUACAUGCAAGUCGAGCGAACAGACGAUGAGCUUGCUCCUCUGACGUUAGGGGCGGACGGGUGAGUAACACGUGUAUAACCUACCUAUAAGACUGGUAUAACUUCGGGAAACCGGAGCUAAUACGGUAUAAUAUAUUGAACCGCAGUGUUCAAUAGUGAAAUUCGGUGUUUCGGUCACUUAUAGAGGGAUCUGCGCCGCAUUAGCUAGUUGGUAAGGUAACGGCUUACCAAGGCGACGAUGCGUAGCCGACCGGCGAGGGUGAUCGGCCACACUGGAAGUGAGACACGCUCAUGGCGCCUGCGGGAGGGAGCAGUCGGGAAUCUUACGCAGUGGGCGAAAGCCUGACGCAGCGACGGCGAGUGAGUGAUGAAAGUCUCCGGAGCGUAAAAAUCUGUUAUUAGGGAAGAACAGCUUUGGCAGUAACUAUGGCCGUCUUGACGGUAACUAAUAAGAAAGCCACGGCUAACUACGUG
rnacentral:rRNA from 1 species